GGCGAACGCUGGCGGCGUGCUUAACACAUGCAAGUCGAACGGAAAGGCCCUGCUUUUGUGGGGUGCUCGAGUGGCGAACGGAUGAGUAACACGUGAGUAACCUGCCCUUGACUUUGGGAUAACUUCAGGAAACUGGGGCUAAUACCGGAUAGGAGCACCUGCUGCAUGGUGGGGGCUGGAAAGUUUCGGCGGUUGGGGAUGGACUCGCGGCUUAUCAGCUUGUUGGUGGGGUAGUGGCUUACCAAGGCUUUGACGGGUAGCCGGCCUGAGAGGGUGACCGGCCACAUUGGGACUGAGAUACGGCCCAGACUCCGACGGGAGGCAGCAGUGGGAAAUAUUGCACAAUGGGCGGAGGCCUGAUGCAGCAACGCCGCGUGCGGGAUGACGGCCUUCGGGUUGUAAACCGCUUUCGCCUGUGACGAAGCGUGAGUGACGGUAAUGGGUAAAGAAGCACCGGCUAACUACGUG
rnacentral:rRNA from 1 species